rnacentral:tRNA from 1 species
GCAGGGGUGGUUCAGUGGAACAAUUCUCGCCUUCCACGCAGGAGACCUAGGUUCAAUUCCUGGCCAAUGCA